UAUCCCAUUGGCAUACGUGGGCAAGGGGCGGGGUCUAUUUUCCGUGUCAUGGCUCCUCCCUGUAGACUUCAAGAAGUUCCAUAUCCGGAAGUGGGCCCCGUAGACUUUCGUUUGACUGUCGACACCUUUCUCGCUGUGUCAUAUUCACUCAUCAUUGACUGAUGACCCCUGAACAGAUUUCCGGCCCUUCUUCAUACACCUUGUCUUCCACCUUCACAGUCAUGGCACAACACUCAGGAGUGCUGUGAGUUGCAUGACACCUGCAGAGGCUCCAUACUACAGACUACUACUACUCGGUACUACAGAAACCGGAUCACUUGACAAGCCUGUGUCCUGUUUUGGCCUUCCACACUCUGUAGGAUUGCAUAGGCUCCAUUUCUUCUCCCACAUCACCAUUCCAAAACAACUCCAGAUGUUUCGUUUGUAUUAUGGCCAGUUUCUUUACAUCUGUUACACUACCUGUGUUUUGCACCCAAAACUGGACUGCUCUAUCUGUUUCUUGUUUUUUAUCAUUAUCACUUGCAUUGCUGUAAAUAUGUUCCAUUAGCUCAGUUUUGCAACUAUGAAGUGUACAGUUUUGUUGUUGUAUUACUGUUACGCUGAGCAAAAAGAAACCUCAAACCUUA